rnacentral:rRNA from 1 species
CCCUUAGACGUUCUGGGCCGCACGCGCGCUACACUGACCAGUGCAACAAGCAUCCGUCCUUGGCCGACAGGCCCGGGCAAUCUUUGAACGCUGGUCGUGAUGGGGAUAGACUUUUGCAAUUAUGGGUCUUCAACGAGGAAUUCCUAGUAAACGCAAGUCAUCAGCUUGCAUUGAUUACGUCCCUGCCCUUUGUACACACCGCCCGUCGCACCUACCGAUUGAAUGGUCCGGUGAAAUCUCGGGACGGCGGCUUGGUCGCUUGCGUCCGACUGCUGAAACUUGAUUAAACCAUAUCAUUUAGAGGAAGGUGAAGUCGUANCA